rnacentral:piRNA from 1 species
AAGAAGGUGAUAACCAUGUUUGUACAGC